AUACUUACUGGCAGGGGAGGUACCAUGACCACAAAGGUGGUUUUCCGAGGAUGAGGCUUAUCCAUUUCACACCGGAUGUGCUGACCCCCUGCAAUUUCCCCAAAUGUGGGAAACCUGACUGCAUAAUUUGUGGUAGUGGGGAACUGCAUUCAUGCUUUA
ensembl:snRNA U1 U1 spliceosomal RNA